rnacentral:lncRNA from 1 species
UUAAAGUGGUAUUUUUGCCCCUCUUUUAUCGGCGAUUCUCCCUUGACAGAAAAUGACAAAAUCGACAUAUUGCAGGUGAAUGAGAACAACAGCAUACUAGCACGAAAUAAGGCAAGCUUCUGCUUCCAGGCUCUGGUGUUCUCCUACCCAAAAGCCCAGUGUCACUGGAUUACACCAAAUCAAACCAAAAUACAGUGCCGAGAGACUCAUUACCAUCAUUUUAAUAGUACAUUUAAGCUGUGUAACCCUGAACCAGGCCAGUAUCAAAUGAAACUAAAGAAUCAGCACUAUAGUGUCAUAAGGAGUAUGUCUCUCUGCAUUUCAGGUGAGUGGUCAUAAACAUUUUGACUGAAAAAAUGAGAUGUUAAAUGUGAAAUAAGUUUAUAUGCAACGCAUUUUGCAGACGAUCCUAAAAUUGCAAUAAAAUUACACAAUGAUUCAAAUGUCGUCUCUUGUGAGACUGAAAGCUCCCUACCUAUGACUGUAUCCUGGAAGAUCUGCCCAUUACAUACCAAGUAAGAAGCAGCGAUAACCAAUGGUAUAAACAUGAAAUGUGUGUGUGUGUUGUUGUUUUUUUGCUCAUUUAUUAAACUAUUUAUCUGUAUAUUUUUGCAGUUGUAAUAAUGAAGGUUGGAAAGAGAUACCUGUUGCCCAGCCCAAGGUCAUAGAUUCAGAUCAGUUCUGUCAGAAGAAAAUUUACUUUGCCAGACCCAGAUCAAACAGCGAGGACCAUUUUAUGAAAUGCUGCAUCUCUAACAUAGCAGGGACUGAAUGUAGUGACCAAAUACG